rnacentral:rRNA from 2 species
CCCCNGANCGNGGUCUAAUACCGGAUAACACUCUGUCCCGCAUGGGACGGGGUUGAAAGCUCCGGCGGUGAAGGAUGAGCCCGCGGCCUAUCAGCUUGUUGGUGGGGUAAUGGCCUACCAAGGCGACGACGGGUAGCCGGCCUGAGAGGGCGACCGGCCACACUGGGACUGAGACACGGCCCAGACUCCUACGGGAGGCAGCAGUGGGGAAUAUUGCACAAUGGGCGAAAGCCUGAUGCAGCGACGCCGCGUGAGGGAUGACGGCCUUCGGGUUGUAAACCUCUUUCAGCAGGGAAGAAGCGAAAGUGACGGUACCUGCAGAAGAAGCGCCGGCUAACUACGUGCCAGCAGCCGCGGUAAUACGUAGGGCGCAAGCGUUGUCCGGAAUUAUUGGGCGUAAAGAGCUCGUAGGCGGCUUGUCACGUCGGAUGUGAAAGCCCGGGGCUUAANCCCGGGUCUGC